CUAUUAAGCUAGGUUACAAUACAUCCACAAGGACUCAAAUACAGAAGUCUGGAGUCCUCCUCAGGCCAUAUUUACUUUGCUUUAACAAUUCCCUCCUUUUUGGUCAUUUCUCAAAUUUAAGAGAUUGACUAAAACUUUAGUCCUUGAUGUCACUAUCACCAUCAUAAAUGUAUUUAUUUGAUUUUGAAACCCACUGGGAAACAGUAGAACAGUGAGUUUUGCAAAGGUAGGAACAAGGAUUGAGUAGAGGUUACGUCCUUAUGUUGGAAGGUCCUUUUAUAGAAAAAAAACAAAACCUGGUCUGUUCUGGUCUAGGGUUUAUGUGUUUCCUUAAAGUCUUAGUUUGAUUAUGUCACAUUUAGCAUGAGUGACUCCAUUUUUGUUUGGUUUGGUCUGUUUGGGGCCUAGUAUACGAGUUUCAGUCCAAAACAAUGGCCUCCCAUAAUUUUGUUUAAAAAUCUUCCCUUUUUGGUCGGGUUCUCAUUUAGGUGAGAGUGUGACCACAAUUCAGGGCCUUGGUGUCACUCUCAGUUACUAUUAUUUUGCGUUUCUGAUCUCAGUAUGUCAUUCAUAGGUUACGGUGUCCUCACGGCCAUAUAUUGCUUUCAGUUUUUGUCAUUCCAGUUGAAGAGGGACUAUUUGACAUUUUAGAGAUGGCUGUAUGUAAACAUUUAAAACCUUUGAGAGAACACAGUGUGCCAGGGAGACUAUUAUGAUGACUACUGGGAGGAUAAUACCAAGAGUUUGGAGUAUGUUCUUUAUUCAGUGUCUCUACAAAUAAAACCAGCUAAAAUCAAAUAGAUCAAAGAAUGAGUUACAUGAAGAGUCUACUCGCCUAGAUAAGUGCUCUUUUCAUUAAUUCCCUACAAUUGAAUUUUGAUAAUUUACAUUUGAUGUAUUUCUCAAUAGGCCACAAGUGCCAGUAGCUGUACAGAUACUUUUCUGUUUAGUCAAUUCUACAAGUUAGUAUAACUUUUACAAGAGAGUUUAAAGUCUGUUGCGUCUGUAAACUAUAGUCUUUACAGUAGAGCCCAUUAUAGAGCCUAUCAUGGGGGAUACAUUUCUAAUUAUUGUUUCUUUUAUUCUAAACCAUGGAAAAGGGACCUAACAAAUGAUGUAUUUUUAGAAGAGUGAAGGCCUCUUGGCAAUGUUAUCUCUAUGAUGUGGAUUAAGAAGAGUGAAUUGAUGUUCUGGUUCUAAUUAUGAGGCAAUGUAUGUACCAUUGAAGUUUUUCACCUACCUUGGGUCUUUCUCUUUUAUCUGUCAAGGUUAUUCAUGUAUAAGGCUGUCUAUGAAAUCAUUUACAAAUAAAAAUA